GGCCCAAUCUUCUAGGGGUCAGCAGAUCAUUCUGUUUUAAUUUGACCCCUAUGUUCUACAAUAUCGAUAUUAAUCCGAAUCCCCUCUGAUAUAUUACUGUAUUAUCUUCUACAACUUAAUCCUUGCAGAGUCUUAAGGACUUCUUGUGAUAUAAGCAGCUGAUCCUCAUACCGCUGCUUACAAGAUCAUCCCUUGUGUACACUGAAUUACUGUCACAUCAAAUAUACUGUGACAGAGAUGCUAGGCACACAUGAUUAUUGACUCAACACCUCAUCAGACAUUCAUGACAUCUUUCACACAAACCUGCUCCAAUCUGCGGCUGAGGAUCCAUUCCCUUCACAGAGAAUCUUCAACUGACAGCCAUUCAUCAUUAUAGAAGAAGAUAAUGAACUUGAAUGAGAGAUCAAAACAAUCCUUGAUGAUAGAACCAACCAUCACUGCUGCAAAUACCUUGUCAAAUGGGUAGAAUAUGAUCAUCUGAUCUGGGAACCUGCAUCCACCUUGGAGAAUACCACCGCCCUCGACGCCUAUGAGUCAUCGCUCACCUCAGUAGAGAGGGAUAAUGUGACAGAUUAGCAUCUGUUAGUAGUUAACUUACACAACCAAUCUCUUCUGCCUCAUGUUCCAUACUUGUGUACAUCUACUUGUCUCUGUUAUUGCACUCUGCACUUGUGUAGUCUCUAACAAUUCUUCUGUGUAACCCCUUCUGUCUCACACUUCACACUUGUGUAGUUCUAACAAUUCUUCUGUGUAACCCUCAACAUUCUUCCACUCCAUACUCCACUGUGGGGUGGCUUCUGAUAUUCUUCCACUCUGAUCUCUUCUCUAUAAGAACCCCCUUCAUACAACCUUUUCUUCUGAUCUCUUUUCUCUUUCUUUUCUUAAUCAAUUUGUAAUCUGUAUUUAGGAUAGUGCUAGAUCGUUAAUCGAAGUACGCCUGUUACAAAAAGUGCUCAUUCAACUAGUUUUUCAGCUCUAAUUGAUUGAGUUCUUUCUGAAUUCCACCA
rnacentral:sRNA from 1 species